UUUUUUUUUUUUUUGCUACUGCAGAAGAAUAUUCCUUCAUUCAGAUGGCAUCAUCCCUGGUGGUAUUCCGGAAGUGGUUACAAUGGAACUACAGGUAGUCCUUGACUUACAACCAUGGAAGAGAUUAGUUCCAGUCCUGGAAGAAUCAGGCUGAUUUGCUCGGCUUUGUGACAGAGAAAGAAAAAUUGGGUACUGAUUGGAAAAAUAGAAUAGUGGAAAGUAAUUUUGUGCAGAAAGUAAGUGGAAUUAUGAAUUGAAAAUGGCAACAUUGAAGUGUCUCUGCGUGUAAAGAAAGAUAAUUAUAGACAUGAAUAAUUAAACAUUCAUAUCUGUUUGUUCAA